UUGACCUCGGAUCAGGUAGGGAUACCCGCGGAGGAAAAGAAACCAACAGGGAUUGCCUCAGUAACGGCGAGUGAAGCGGCAAAAGCUCAAAUUUUAAAGCUGACAUCUUCGGUGUCCGCGUUGUAAUUUUGUGAGGCAUCUCCGGGUAGGGCGCCGGCCUAAGUUCCUUGGAACAGGACGUCACAGAGGGUGAGAAUCCCGUGCUUGGCUGGCUGUCCCCGUCCAUGUGAGGUGUCUUCGACGAGUCGAGUUGUUUGGGAAUGCAGCUCAAAAUGGGUGGUAAAUUUCAUCUAAAGCUAAAUAUUGGUGGGAGACCGAUAGCGCACAAGUAGAGUGAUCGAAAGAUGAAAAGCACUUUGAAAAUAGAGUUAAAAAGUACGUGAAAUUGUUGAAAGGGAAGCGCUUGAGACCAGACUUCGGUAAGGGGUGAUCAGCCGUCCUUCUGGGCGGUGCACUUGCCCCCCUCCGGGCCAGCAUCGGUUGAGGCGGCGGGAUAAAGGUCCCGGGAAUGUGGCUCCUUCACGGGAGUGUUAUAGCCCGGGUGAAUGCCGCCAGCUUCGACCGAGGACCGCACCCGC
rnacentral:rRNA from 1 species